UUAUUUGAAAGAGAGAGACACAGCGAGAUGAGAGAGAGAAGAUGAAAUUAUAUAUGUAAAAAGGCCAGCAUAGUGCUUGGCACCUACCAAGUGCACCUUUCAUGGUCAUAAGGUACUGCCCAGUGUUUAUUGUGGGAGGAGAGUGGCAGAGAAAAGCCCGCAGGUUGAGUGGCACUUAUUGUGUCUUUCCUCUGGAUUCCUCGCCUGUCCAGGGCUCCCUGGGCAUGUGUCUCUUGCCUCAUCCUCCCCACUGUGGCCACUCUUUCAGACUCCUGUCUCAUGCUCGCUUUGGCAGCACAUAUACUAAAAUCAGAUUCUUGUCUUCUCUCAGCUCAGCCUCAUGCUGGUCCCAGCAGGUAAAUCUGGUUAGGUCAACUGAAGACAUCAAGUCCUGAGGCCCAGAAGAAGACAUUUUAAACUUUACUCAAAUUCUGGUGAUCUGCACAAUACUUUUUCACAGUAGCUUGGGAGAAAGAAUGAUACAGAUCUGUGUGUUUUAGGAUGGAAUAGUCGCCAAGGUUUAUUAGAAGCAGCCAAGUUCUGGAGUGCAGUCCCUCUGUGAGAGCGAGCGUGCAAGAGUCCAGGCUACACGGAAGCAUGCCCUGGUGUGGGCCCUAAGGCAGAGCCCUCCCGCAGACUGGCACCUCCCUCUGCCACAGGACGAGAAAGACCAGUGAUGAGCACUCCUGAACGGCUUCCUCUGAUCUGUUUCAAAUGGGGCUGUCGCAAGACCCUGAGGAUGGUGAUGGGCCCAAACAGUCUAGUGGGUCCCUGAAGCUUCCACUCGGCUUAGAACACAGAGCCUGAGGUCUCCAGCCCUAAUUGCCCACUCCUGCUGCUGCCUUACUCUGACACAAUUUCACCCACUGCACAGCUUCCAGGAUGCCAAACACCAUUGCAGAUCCCGGUGAGCAGCCAGGUCAGGCUGGUUCAUGCUCCCCGCUGGGGACAACAGCACUCUCAGGUAAACUCUUGAGUGAUAGCCCUGAUCCAAGUGGAUACAUAGGGCGGUCAGAACGAGGUAACUAAAUGGUUGUGCUGUGGUGAACACUUGUCCUGGUCCUGGUUUGGUGACACUGUGCAUUGCCAGCCCCUGGUGCUUACACGGAGCUAUUAGCCCACUCACUAAGUUCCUCUGUGGACACAGACAGGGUGUUGCUCCUCGUAGGAUAUAGGCCCUCUUGAAGACUCUGGCUUUUAAGAAACGCACACAGCUACAGAAUACACAACCUCACGUUAAAAGGGUUCAUAGACCCUUGGCUUAAGAAACCCAAGCCCAAGACACGUGGAAUUUUAGUCUCUUUCCUUUAAAAUUUCCCUUGGUCAGUUUUAGAAAAUGUAGAUUAUAUCAAAUGCCAUUUCGCACGUUUGAUUUCAAAUAGAAGCUGAAAAUUAAAUCCACGAUUUAAUAGUUGAGAUUGUUAGAUUUAGCACCUGACAUUAUUGUGCUCGGACAGUAUUGGAAUUUUGUAUACUUAUACUCUUGUAGAUGUUUUUAAAAUAUAUGUUUAUGAACCAACAAGAA